rnacentral:lncRNA from 1 species
UCUUGAUAUUGCAAUAAAGAAACCAUACCUUGUCACCCACGUAGAAUGAUGGUUGUUCCUUAUUAUAGACAUCUGCAUUGAUUUUUUGUUAUUCUUGAGCUUCUUUUAACUAUGCCUUCAUUGUUGCAUGUAGCUCUGAUAAAUAAUUUGCCAAAUCUUCCACUGCAAGAUAAUCAGCUUUUAAAAAGUCAAAAGUAUAAAGUCUUGGAUAAUAACCA